rnacentral:rRNA from 1 species
CGCUGGCGGCGUGCUUAACACAUGCAAGUCGAACGGAAAGGCCUCAGCUUGCUGGGGUACUCGAGUGGCGAACGGGUGAGUAACACGUGGGUGAUCUGCCUUGCACUCUGGGAUAAGCUUGGGAAACUGGGUCUAAUACCGGAUAUGAACUGCCUUUAGUGUGGUGGUUGGAAAGUUUUUUCGGUGCAAGAUGAGCUCGCGGCCUAUCAGCUUGUUGGUGGGGUAAUGGCCUACCAAGGCGUCGACGGGUAGCCGGCCUGAGAGGGUGUACGGCCACAUUGGGACUGAGAUACGGCCCAGACUCCUACGGGAGGCAGCAGUGGGGAAUAUUGCACAAUGGGCGGAAGCCUGAUGCAGCGACGCCGCGUGGGGGAUGACGGCCUUCGGGUUGUAAACUCCUUUCGACAGGGACGAAGCGUUAUGUGACGGUACCUGUAUAAGAAGCACCGGCUAACUACGUGCCAGCAGCCGCGGUAAUACGUAGGGUGCGAGCGUUGUCCGGAAUUACUGGGCGUAAAGAGCUCGUAGGUGGUUUGUCGCGUCGUCUGUGAAAUUCCGGGGCUUAACUUCGGGCGUGCAGGCGAUACGGGCAUAACUUGAGUGCUGUAGGGGAGACUGGAAUUCCUGGUGUAGCGGUGAAAUGCGCAGAUAUCAGGAGGAACACCGAUGGCGAAGGCAGGUCUCUGGGCAGUUACUGACGCUGAGGAGCGAAAGCAUG